AGAUUGAACGCUGGCGGCAGGCCUAACACAUGCAAGUCGAGCGGUAGAGAGGUGCUUGCACCUCUUGAGAGCGGCGGACGGGUGAGUAAUGCCUAGGAAUCUGCCUAGUGGUGGGGGAUAACGUUCGGAAACGGACGCUAAUACCGCAUACGUCCUACGGGAGAAAGCGGGGGACCUUCGGGCCUCGCGCCAUUAGAUGAGCCUAGGUCGGAUUAGCUAGUUGGUGAGGUAAUGGCUCACCAAGGCGACGAUCCGUAACUGGUCUGAGAGGAUGAUCAGUCACACUGGAACUGAGACACGGUCCAGACUCCUACGGAGGCAGCAGUGGGAAUAUUGGACAAUGGGCGAAAGCCUGAUCCAGCCAUGCCGCGUGUGUGAAGAAGGUCUUCGGAUUGUAAAGCACUUUAAGUGGAGAAGGUUGUAACUUAAUACGUUGCAACUUUGACGUUACCGACAGAAAUAAGCACCGGCUAACUUCGUAGCUAGCAGCCGCGUAAC
rnacentral:rRNA from 1 species